UCCCUGAUAGCUCAUUUGGUAAAGAAUCUGCCUGCAAUGCAGGAGACCCUGGUUCAACUCCUAGGUCAGGAUG
rfam:TPA: Bos taurus chromosome 22, whole genome shotgun sequence.